CUAAAGAAAUCUGUAUGAACACUUCAUUAUUGGCCUAGAGCAAACCCACUAUCACCAUUAUCUUCCCUUGUACGUUGAAGGGAGGUGGAACAAAACCUGAGUGGCUGGACCUCGAUUCAAACACUAGCCAAUGUUAUCAUCUGCCCUCUUCUCUCCAUGCACAAAGAAGAAGCACCAACACUGAAAAAUGAAUGCUUCUCAUUCAACUCAGAACCAAACCCAGCCUUAUCUUCCUUUUCAAGACCGCAAGCUAGCAUCCAUAGGGAAGGACUCACCACCUAGCUCACAUGUUCCUUCCAUUCUCCUCUCAUUGUCAGCCGAACAUCAAGCUCCAUAGCUUGCAUGUGCUUUAUACUUCCUUCCUUCCUCCACAAGCUGUGAGUCACUUGAGGAGACAACAAAAUAUUUAAGUUUUGACCUAUCUUUCCUUACAUGCAAGAACAAGAGUGUGAGAGUUAUAGCGCAACUCUUGGUGGCUGUUCUCCUUAAUCGAUUGUGAAGCAAUUGGGUACCUGCAAGAUGGUACCAAUCGUGAAUCACCCCUCUACCUCACACUCACUGUUCGGUCUUAAAGGUGCGCAUAAUUCCAAGAGAGUGGACUGAAUUUUGGUCAUACACUUGGUUAAAAUAGUUGGACACACCGAGGUAAGUGUUCGGUGGAUUACCCUUUCUGACUGUUAAUUUAGUGCUUGGAUUUCUGAUUUGUUGCACAUGUGUCACAUUCUGAUUUUGUUGGAAGGUAAUGACAAUUUGAUUUGGAAUAUGAACUGUUGGAAAUUCUGUUUGGAUAUACACUAUGCUUCGAGUUUCUGUUGUCACAGUCAAGUAAAUUAUGAUUCUCUGAUGCUGAUAUUUAGUCAUGCUCAUGAACAUCAUCAAACUGCAUUUUGUCAUGCGUGUGCGAAGCAAAACAUAUCAUAGCAUACAACAUUAUGCAUUCAGCUUUGGAAACCGAAGUAUUUGAUGAAAGUAAGCAUAUGUUUGAGCACGCAUCAUAUAGGCAUCCCUGAGGUACCAGGGAGAAGGAACCGUGGCUCAGUUCGCAUAGGUCGCAGUUAAAAUUCCCCUCUGAUGGGCCAAAUGGAAUCUCCAUUGUGUUAGUUAGUAGUACGUGCACUGUAGUGCUAUGAACGUACCUUAUUCUGGCGUUAUAUACACAUUCUGAUUAGUAUUCUGGCGUUAUAUAUGCAUUCUGAUUACAUUUUAGUAUCUGUUCAGAAUUUACUUGAUGAUGUGACAAUUUUGGAAAUUCUGUAUUUAAGUUAACAUUGUUGCAUUGCUAGAUUUUCUGCCACACUACUGAGAUUUUUCUCAUCCCUUUUGGGGCUCAAUUUUUAUAAAUUACAGGAGGACUCAGAAGCAUUUGAUGAAGUGUUUGUUUUAGACGUAUUCUAUUUGAUUGCUGUUGUCUUGAGAAUUCUGCUAUUGUCCACUGUUUAUGUUGAUUACUUGCUGAAUAAUCCAAGUGGAUGUAAUAUUUUGAGAAACUGGAAAAACAUUGGAAAAUGAUCUUAUUCUGCUGCAUUUUGGAUUUUUACAUUCUGCCUAAAACUGAUGUAAUCCUGGUAUUUAACUUACGAAAACAAUUGCUAUUGUAUUUAAAUUCGGAUUUUUUAACUGAUUUAGCGAGCACCUUGCGAGUUCCAUUUCUGGGGCGACAGACCUCCGAAUGAUGUAUAAUUUAUAUGUACGUAA